rnacentral:rRNA from 1 species
CCUACGAGCGGCAGCAGUGGGGAAUAUUGCGCAAUGGGGGGAACCCUGACGCAGCCAUGCCGCGUGAAUGAAGAAGGCCUUCGGGUUGUAAAGUUCUUUCGGUAUUGAGGAAGGGAUGUGUGCUAAUAGUACAUAACAUUGACGUUAAAUACAGAAGAAGCACCGGCUAACUCCGUGCCAGCAGCCGCGGUAAUACGGAGGGUGCGAGCGUUAAUCGGAAUAACUGGGCGUAAAGGGCACGCAGGCGGUUAUUUAAGUGAGGUGUGAAAGCCCCGGGCUUAACCUGGGAAUUGCAUUUCAGACUGGGUAACUAGAGUACUUUAGGUAGGGGUAGAAUUCCACGUGUAGCGGUGAAAUGCGUAGAGAUGUGGAGGAAUACCGAAGGCGAAGGCAGCCCCUUGGGAAUGUACUGACGCUCAUGUGCGAAAGCGUGGGGAGCAAACAGGAUUAGAUACCCUUGUAGUC